CACGGCGGUACCCGCCCCAAAUUCUCUGGUGUAUGCUAUCUUUGAAAGACUAGGCGCCUUUGACCAACUCUAAGGACGAGCAAAGUGUGCUUGCAUCUUGCCUAUACAAAUCCUUUACUGGAUAACGUUAUGUUGGGGAUUGUGAUGGUGGUGGUUCCCUAGUUGGCCUACAAGAUGUUUUGCCUGCCCAAUACGGAAUGUAAUUGCGUGAAGUUUGCUAUGAUUAUGAGCUUUUCAGUCGAGUACCGUGUGCAAGCAUAGUUUGCUGUGUUGCCUAAGUAAGGUACGAGAUUGAAAAGCUUGAUUAUAUCACUAUUGUAUACAAUACUUUUUCUACGAGUCAUCUAAAAAUAACACUUUUUUUUUUAUUAUAAAACCUAAAUAAUUAGUUGCCAAAAAUGUAGUACAAAAGAUAUAAUCGCGCAACAGACACACGCAAUUAUAGUUUGGUACUCGUAUACGAAAUCAUAAUUCAAGCAUGACAGUCGACGAAUAGAAAAAUAAUUUUAUCUUCUUGGUUUUGAGUCUGGGCCGAUUUUUAUUUUGUUGUUGAUUUUUAACUAUAAUUAUAGUUUUGUAUACGAAUUCUUAAUUCGACAAUUGCUCAGACGACGAGUAGAAAAUAGUUAUUUACGAUAAAAGUGAAGAAAAUAGGAAAUUCGCAACGAGUGGUAAUAAAUUAAAACACGACCGAAGGGAGUGUUUUAAAUCGACACGAGUUGCGAAUUACCUAUUCGCACGUGUAUCGUACAACGUUUUACAGUACAUAUGACUCUUUAAAGUUUCGACAUAUGCACGGAAAGUGCUCAUUCCGCACGCGUGCGGGAAAGUUGCACCAUAUGUACUGUAAACUUAUUUUUAAGGCCGAGGGCUGCAUGCACGCGGCGCGCGGUGCGGUGAGCGGAGCGGCGGGCGGCGCGGCAAGCGUCCGCCGCUAUCGUCCAAAACAGAUUCAUUCAUUUCUAUACAUUUUGAUCGUGCGCGUUUACCACCGCUCGCGCCGCCUGGCGUCGAGCGGCACGAUCAAGAGUUCAUAAGUUACUAAGACGAUUGCCGUAACGCAACCGUUUCGUGUAAAAUAAGCCCGUGCGGGUGCAAAAAUAAUAUGAAAUCCGUUGAUAUAAUCUCAUUAACGCUGAGGGAUGAAGGGCGGAAUUAAACGGGUUUGCUUUAUGGAGCGCAAGUCUUGAAUAGUUAUUUAAAUAUCAGGUUGAUAUUCUACAAAUUGACUUUUCCUGAAGAUAAAGCCAGGUUUUAUAUUGUAUAUCUUAUAAUUUCAAUUUCCAUAGAUAUUCGUCGAUCCAUCUUGUUUUAUACCGUUUAAGUUGUUAAGUGAUCACCUGUCUGGCCUAGUGGGUAGUGACCCUGCCUAAGAAGCCGAUGGUUCCGGGUUCAAAUCCUGGUAAGGGAAGUGUGAUGAGCACGAAUGUUUGUUCCUGGGCGUUUUCUAUGAAUUUAAGUACUUAUAUAUUAAAUAUAUUGUUGUCUAAGUACUCACAACACAAGUCUUAUUGAGCUUACGGUGGGACUUAGUCAAUUUGUGUAGUAAUGUCUUAUAAUAUUUAUUGAUAUACUUAUAAAGUAGUUCCCACGCUGGUUCAAUACCUAUUGAUUCAAUUUCUAUCGACUGGAUAUUUAAUUUUGACAUAUACAAUAUUUACACUCUACACUAUCGAUUUAGAUAUUUAAAAAAUAUCCUAUUUUGUUAUUUCCGGAACGUCACGAUUAAGUAUUAACUUUUCAUUUAUUUAUAUGAGCGUGACGUACAGGAAAUUAACUUAUAUCAAAUCUCGUUUCAUAUCUUACUUUUUCAGAGGUAGAGCAAAGAAAUUAACAAAACGACAGGUGAGAAUAUGUUUGUGCCAUAAGCCACUUACAUUGGUUUGCAGGAGACCGAAAAAAGCAAAAAAAAACAACCGUUUUGCAAGACCGAUCCGAUCCCAUUAGUGCUCCGUGAACAAAGUUUUGUACGGACCACAAAAAAUAUUUUUCGAAUGUUUUAUAAAUAAUCAACUGUUUAUCAUUUAGGCACAUAUAUAUAUGUGUGCCUAUACAAAUAUUUUGAAUAUAGUGGUAAUCAUUAAAUAAAAGCAUUUUUAAUAUGCCAUAUACGUUUUUGAUGAGUAUUGGCAGGCAAAUCUAAUAAUUUUUUAUCACUCUUUAAAAUAACUAUACUCCUAUCCUAACAUAGUCAACACUAAACGUUAUUUUCAUCAAAACAAAGUAAAAUGAUCGGCUUUGUAGAGCUAAAAAGCCAAUCGUGCGAUAAACUCGAGAGCAAAGUUUUUUAUCACUCCUACUUAGAGCAAGAAAAAAUAAAACUUCUAAAAAGCUUUGCUUUUCUUCUAUAAAAGUUUAAAAGCUUGAAGUACUUGAAUCCUAUAGCCCGAAUUAGUACGAAAAAAGGGCCAUAAAUUAUCAUCAGAAACACGAAAUCAUAAAUCAUUUAGGUUUUCUGUAAAUUCCAAAAAAAAUCGUAUUCGUAAAUAUAUAAGUAGAUUAAUUGUGUUAAAUGGAAUUUACCAACCCAAAUAUUUUUUCGUAUUACUUAUAGUUAUUUUAUUGCUAAACAACAAUUCUCUAUCUAUUCUCACGUAGGUAGUACAUUAACUAAAUUAAACAACAGCGCAACCAACCUUAGUUUUACUGCUUAAUUCGAACGACUUAAUUGAAACAGCGACAUACUAAACUACCCUAAGUAAUUGCUUUCAGGGCGAACGCCUUGUAUCAAUUCUACACGAGAAUUUUAGUACGAACGGAACUAGAUUGAUUAAAAAUAAUAGUGCAGUUUUUGCUUAAAUCGGAAGCUAGGCGCGGCCGGGGGCGGGGUGCGGGGCAACAUGGCGGCCGCGUUACGUCACUUUCAAGAGCUGUUCGUUCGUCGUUUUGAAAUUAGAUCAGUAGCCAACCCGCAGCGUAUUGAACGCACGUCUGUUUAAACUCCUAUGAUUUUUAUCCCGAAAACCGUUCGCGACCAGUGAUUUUCAGUUUUGUGUUUUUUUUUGUUUUUUCCCCACGACCGAUGGACCUGGAUCCGGCUUGAGACAAUGUCCGAGAUGUGUAACGGAAAGUUUCAGUAUAAUGGUGGAGUGGUAAAUUCAACCGUGGAGUAAAGGUAUUAUAUUACAGACGAUCGGUCUGGCCUAGUGGCUAGUGCCCUGCCUGUGAAGCCGAUGGUCCUGGGUUCGAAUCCCGAUUAGGGCGUUUAUUCGUGUGAUGAGCACGGAUUUGUUCUUGGGUGUUUUAUAUGCAUUUAAGCAUUUAUCGGGCCGCUGGGCUUAACGAUGUUAUAAAUAAAUAUUAUAAAACAUUAUUACACAACGUCUCACAGUGAGCUCAAUAAGGCUUGUGUUGUGGGUACUUAGAAAACGAUAUUCUCGUAUAAUACAGGGUAGUUAUUCAGUCACGAAAAAAAAAUCUCCCAUAUAAAAGGUCAAGGUCAGACAGCCAAAAUGUAUGAAACAUACAAUUUUUUUUCGGGAUUUCGGGGUUGGUCCCAUAGUAAAAGUUGCUCAGUAAGACCUAGUAGACCCGUAAAUUAUUACAGGUGACUAAAUAAACGCCCUGUAUAUAUAGUAUUUUAUGCAACAGUUAUAUAAGAAGGGUCAAAAAAGGCGACUGGCGUGAGUUACGCCACGAGCAUUUUUUACCUACUUAUACAACGUUGCAUACAAUACUUUUCCUACGAGUCAAGAAAAAUAAUCUUAAUUUAGGCAAACAAAGCAAAAGUAUAUAGCCAAGACGCGCGAGCAUACCUUGAUACGCGCCCGGCCCGCCCCGGGCCGCGGCCGGCCGGUCAGCGACUCCUCGUAACUCAUGAGGCCCUGGUACUUGCUACUUGCUAAAUUAAA